AGAUGGAUCGUGCAGGACACAAAAUACAAAUAAAGGGAAAAAGGUUCCCUCCACGGACUUUUGCUCACAGCUGGAGCACGAGGCAGGUGUAGGGCUCACCUGUGGAUGAAAUCCCAGAGGAAAGAGCAGCUGCUCUCAGGAAUUACGGCGCUCGGCGAAAAGCAGGGACCCUCCGGAGCUGCUGCUGGCGCAGCCUGGCAUCCCAAAAUAUUCCUGCCAUCUUCAGGGGGAUUUAGCCAUCCAUCUGCUGCUUGUGCCUGCCCUGGAGCGCUCCAGCAGGGCCGUGGGUGCCCGACGGGCGCAGCUCUCGGGAA